CCAGACUCCUACGGGAGGCAGCAGUGGGGAAUAUUGCACAAUGGGGGAAACCCUGAUGCAGCGACACCGCGUGAGUGAAGAAGUAUUUCGGUAUGUAAAGCUCUAUCAGCAGGGAAGAAAAUGACGGUACCUGACUAAGAAGCCCCGGCUAACUACGUGCCAGCAGCCGCGGUAAUACGUAGGGGGCAAGCGUUAUCCGGAUUUACUGGGUGUAAAGGGAGCGUAGGCGGCAUGGCAAGUCAGAUGUGAAAGCCCGGGGCUCAACUCCGGGACUGCAUUUGAAACUGUCAGGCUGGAGUGCAGGAGAGGUAAGUGGAAUUCCUGGUGUAGCGGUGAAAUGCGUAGAUAUCAGGAGGAACACCGGUGGCGAAGGCGGCCUGCUGGACUGCAACUGACGUUGGGGCCCGAAAGCGUGGGGAGCAAACAGGAUUAGAUACCCGGGUAA
rnacentral:rRNA from 1 species